rnacentral:lncRNA from 10 species
ACAGCAUUCAGUCCAUUCACUAAACAUAGACAAUAGCCAAACUGAGAAUAGCCUAAAGCUGGAGGUCAACCUAUGGAAUCCACUUGGACUGCUGCAAGGGAAAGUGUGGGCCUUCCUGAAGAAGGGUGCUUUCCUCCAGAGCUUUGGGUGUUCGCUGCGCUUCUGGUCCAGUGAGGCGCCCACUGCCGCUCCCGAUGCUGAUCGUCGCCAUUGCAGACCCACUGUUGACUUCCACCCCUGUCGAUCUGGCAGGGUGUUUGCUGCGCUUCUGAUCCAGUGAGGCGCCCACUGCUGCUCCCGAUUGGGCUAGAGGCUCACUGUUGUUCCUGCACAGCUAAGUGCCCGGAUUCGUUCUAAUCAAGCUGAAUACUACUCGCUGGGUUCCAUGGUUCUCUGCCCUGACCCAUGGCUUCUAAUAGAGCUAUAACACUCACCGCAUGGCCCAAGGUUCCAUUCCUUGGAAUCCGUGAGGCCAAGAACCCCAGGUCAGAGAACAAAAGGCUUGCCGCCAUCUUGGGAGCGGCCUGCCGCCAUCUUGGGAGCUCUAAAAUCAAAGACCAGCCUGUAACACCAGCAUUCCCAGCCUGACAAAGAUCCCAGGUCCAGACUGGACACCCACCCUUAGAGCCUCCAGACCAGAAGAGGCCACGUGCUUAAGAUGGCUGAUGUAUCUGCAGAGAGAAGAAGGGCCUCCCC